rnacentral:misc_RNA from 1 species
GGGCGUACACCAUCAGGGUACGAGCUAGCCCAUGGCGUACACCAUCAGGGUACGACUAGUAGAUCUCGUACACCAUCAGGGUACGCUUGGAUCGGAAACCCGUCGGCCUCCGACAGGUAAGUAUUAACCGGAGAGGGAACCCACU